AUUGAGCAGUGGGUGGGGCUUGUAGCCAGACUAUAAAUUGGAACAGCUAAGCUUGCAGAAUCCAGACAACCAAACUCCAUCAAUCAAGAGGAACUUAAUCCAGGGAGGUAGGGUAGGGGGUUGAGAUCAGGAGCAGUAGUUUAGAAAAGUCUCUAUUUUGGGCUUUUACUAGACUAUUGGGGAAAGAAGGGAAUAGAGUAGAUGGUUAUAAAAUUUCAGAAUCAAGAAAGUUUAAUCUGAGAGUCCCGGUUGAUGAUGAAUACCAUGGGAUAUUGGUAUUGGGUACUUAGAAGAAUGCCAAAUUGGAAAGAAUUAUGGGCUUUGUCAGAGUUUCUUCUCUUUCUAGGCAUGUAGAAGAGCCUAUUUACAUCAUUAACUUGCCAGCUUUGUGUAUAUACAUGUGCAGACACGCAUGCAUAAUAUACCAUAAGGCAGCAUAGCUGAUAGUGGACCUUAAGGUUCUUCUGCUCACUGGGUCAGAAGCAUCCGAUUUCCUGUCAUCGGUUGUGGUUCAGCCAUGUUAAUACUAAAAGUAUAAGAAUAUCAUAAUCCCAGAGUGAUAUAAAGACCUUUCCAAGGAAGAUGAGAUACCUGGAGGCUGUGAAGGAGAAGUCUGAAGGAUUUGACCGCGUUCAAAUGAAAACCUUUGGUUCAGCAAAACACCAGAAACAAAUUCAAAAGAUAAAAUACACUCCGGAGAAGCCCAUUCUCUCAACGCAUCUGACAGUUCACAAAGAGCAACUGCAGUCCAACUUAAAAAAUAAAGAAAAUGGUAGGAAAAUGGGCAACAUGCACUGAGGCAAUAUAUAAGAAGAAGGAAUGCGCAAUUAACCAACAAAAGCCUGCUUUUUCCUAACGAGUGAAGAUAAAAGCUUAGUAAAUAUUAAAAUUUAUUGAAGAUAAAAAUGGACACUUCCGGCCAUAUAUAAAAGCAUUGUUGGUAAGAGAGUGGGGUAAUUGACAUGCUCCUGGGAAAUAAUACGCAUUCAGACAACCUAUAAUGAGUGAAUCCACUGGGGGUAUCCACUAGGAAUAGAAAACGACCACCAACGCCCAAGUUUGUGGUCCAGAAUUUGAGCAGCGAUCUAACAAAGUAGAGUCUCCCCCUGUGUCAUGGGCCCCACUUCUUAAGCAAAGAAGAAUGCCUCAUUUUGG
rnacentral:lncRNA from 1 species